GCAACGGCAGUCGCGGACAAUCAGCGGUAUCGAGCGUAGAGUCUCAGGGAGAGGUCGGGCGGCACCGGCUCUUGUGGCAAAUACUGAGUUCCUAUGAUUUUCGAUAUAACAAGGAGAGCUAUUGGUACUUUGGACCGAGAAGAGCUUGCUCACCUACAGGAGCUUGACGAGGAUCGCCACGUCAAAAUUAAAAGGGUAAGGAACAAAAAAAAUAGAAAUGGUUUUGUUUAGCGGAUCCUUUCUUUGGACGACAACUAGGAGUAAAAGAACGCAUUUAAUAAAAAAUCCGCAAAUUGGUAGUACUGCAAUCCCGCAGCUAUUGUUCUCAAUAGCUUGUAUGAUUCAUUGACAAAUAAUUGUACAAAAUAAACACAAAGCAAUAAAAUAUGAAUUACACUGG
rnacentral:sRNA from 1 species